rnacentral:lncRNA from 1 species
AGAGAUCAUGGAAUUGAGGCAGGAAAUGGAAGAAAGCUGAUCAAGAGUGGAUUUUUAAGCUAGUUACUGGGGGUUCAGUCUUUCCAGGGAGCUCUGGGAGACAGUGUAAAAUAUGCCUCAUUCUCCCCACCAAGGAGCCAUGUAGAUGGGGCAGUUAGCCAUCAGAUCCCUCUUCAGCUGUGUCUGAAGGCUGCCUUGAGAGGCAUUAACUCCCUGCCCUGAACACCUGGCCAAAUGUGCGCCGGUGGGCAGAUAAUACAGCCCCAGGUGGAGCCACAGUUGUUCAUAAUAAGCAACCUUCCCUGUAGAGGUGAAGACCAAGGAGAUGGGGCAGAGCCCAGAAGCAUCUACUAGAAGAAUGUUGGGUUUACAGUGAAGGCACACGGAGGGGAUUCCUAGCUUGGGUGAUCAACAAAGACUUCAUAGAGAAGAGCUUUCUAGGCUGGAACAAUGGCACAGUGUUUGGGAGAAUGCAGUAUUUCAAUGAAGAAUAUUAGAAGAGCAUCUACAAAUCCCAGACUGGUGUGUGCAAGUUCUGAGGAAUGGUGGGGCAACCCAAUGUGUUUGGGCGACCUUCAGAGACAUCUGGGACAGAGCCACAACAGGGCAAUGACUGACACCCAACUCACAGCCUGACUUCUCCAGAGCCUUGAACUGCCACAAAAGAAGUCCGUCUGCCCUGAGGCUGUCAUGGUGUAUGGAAGCCCAAGCAGCUAUAUGAAGAAGCCGUGUGUACAUGUUCUAAUUAACAGACCCAGCUGAUGUCUCAGCCAACAGCCAAGACCAACUGCUAGAUGGUGGAGGGUGAAGCAGACAGGCCUGAACUCAAUGCAGGAAGACCAUUCAGCAGGCUUGGGCUUCAUCCAGGCACGAGGGGAUAGGAACUUCCACGUGGCAAGGUCCCUCAGGACAGGGGCUGGCGGAGUUCCAUCCAGCAACAGCCUGACCAAACGUAACUUGCACACUCCUGUAUUCCCCAGACCCCGACUAGUGGGAUUUAGAAACGAAAUAAAUCUAUAAAUGCCUACCGGAGAACACCUCUACAUUUUCCUGCCUCCAACCAAGCUAAGAAUGCAUGCCCAAUGACAGGAAAUGCUGUCUGGGGAUUGCUUUAUAAACAGCCAGCGAAAGGGGAAGAUGAAAAGGGGAAAGUAGAUGAAGCGAGAUUGGCUACACAUAGAUCAUUGUCAAAGCUGAGUGAUGGGUGCCAGGGAUUCAUCAUGCCAUUCUCUCUACAUUUGUGGGUUUGAAAUUUUUCAUAAUGAAAAAACUUGAAAACCUUAUCAACAAUAACAAAAACAAUCAAGUUAAUAAUAAUUAAGGGGUAUGGAACUGUAAAACAAACAGAAUUUUUAAAAUAAUUUAUGGAAGUAGGAACAUGGACUGGCUAUUUGCUCAUAUUAAGGAAUUAUGAUCAUGGUAUUGUGGUUAUGUU